UACGGAGGGAGCUAGCGUUGUUCGGAAUUACUGGGCGUAAAGCGCACGUAGGCGGCUUUGUAAGUUAGGGGUGAAAGCCCGGGGCUCAACUCCGGAAUUGCCUUUAAGACUGCAUCGCUUGAAUCCGGGAGAGGUGAGUGGAAUUCCGAGUGUAGAGGUGAAAUGCGUAGAUAUCGGAAGGAACACCAGUGGCGAAGGCGGCUCACUGGACCGGUAUUGACGCUGAGGUGCGAAAGCGUGGGGAGCAAACAGG
rnacentral:rRNA from 1 species